CCUCGAACCACCAGGCCAGGUCGCAGCUGGGCAGGUCGCAGCACGCGGCCGUGCAGGCCCCCAGGGAGAAGGUCUGAGGCACUGGCACGAUUCUGACGGUUUCCAGGUUGGCCGGAAUGACGGCGUUGGGGUUAUUCUGAUGACAGAUCAGUCAACAGAGAAAUAUCCAAGAUUGAGAAAAGGUUGUUCUCUGUACAUAUCUAGAACCAAGUAGUCUUAAUCAGAUUCUCAAUAACCAGAAGAAGGCAGUAACCACCACAGGCGAUGACACUACUGAAGUGGUCUACUAUAACUCACUCCCACCAACUCCAUGUCAGACCAGCUUUGAGAAGCUUCUAUAGAAAGGUGUCAUUGCCUGAAAUUCAAGGGCAAAAUCACUUCCCUUGUAUUCUUAAUUGUUUGGUAUUUUACAGAAAAAUCAGUCCAUGACAGAUUGGACACAAACUGGCCUUGCCACACACAAUUUUAAAAGCAUUGUAUUAAAGUUUUGCUGCAGAACUCAGAAUGACAAGAGGUUUCCUCCCUAGUUAGGUUCAUCACUAAUGAUUCUUUAAAUAACUGAGUUUUUGGUUUUUUUUUUUUUCAUAUGAAGGAAUGUCAGAGGUUGUUCUAACUGGAAAUAGUGUAAAAGGCUAUACACAGCCUAGGAAUUAUUUUUAUGUUUCCUUGCACACACCAUAAGUUUUAAAAUAACCCAAAGCCAAACCUUGACUCUAUGAAAAUACUAUUUAGUCCUAUUUGUUUAUUUGUUGGCACUGGAGAUGGAACCCAGGGCCUUGCCCCUGAGUUACACCUCCAUUCCUGUUUAGUCUAAUUUAAUACGAAUUAGGUAUCCUAGAUGUUUUUCUUCUCCAGUGCAUAAGAUAGCAACACACUAAAAUGAAGUGGCACUUCUCAAACAUAAGUCUACUCUUUAAAAUCAUCCAAAUAGUUUUGUCCUUUUAUUUUCUAGAAAAGAGCUUCAUCUGUGAUAUGGAGAAAGUAGUGAUAUACUCCAGCUGAGUAUCACAAAAUAGCAUCUCAUCAAGAUCAAAGAUGAUGAGAGGUGAAGAAUAGAGAGAAUCUCCCACUCCCAACUCCACUCUCAAAACCAUUGUGUUUAGAGGUAUCACUGCAUCUCUGAGUGGCCUUUAAAUGAAGACCCAAGCUAGACCCAUUAUUUCACACAUGAAUGCCAAGGUAUGCUUUAGUUUCCUUGAGAAAUAGUUGGGUCAUCUCCUUUGGACAAAGUGAUUCAGAGAAAAAUCAUGUUCAUUUCUGGCCUUGGCUCCCAGAAAGCUCAAGAGCCAAAUUUUAAACUACGUCACAGGAACCACCACAUAGGGAAAGCUGUGACCUUGGAGCACACAUAGUUAUAGGGGUGAAGAGAACUUCCUGUGGAAGACGUCUUCAACUCAAGCUUAGCCAGUUUCAACUGGGCGGGAGGAGGCCACGGGGCAGACCAUUCCUAUAUUCUGCAAAACUUAAGCAGAGACAUUACUGCUAAAUAAGGAAAUCAGGAAGGUGGCUGCUGACAACAAAAUCAUUUUUGCUUUGUUCAAGUUUCAUAAUCACUUUACCAUCUUUACAGCACACUUGACUGAAGGAGCACCAAAUUCCUGGAACCAAGGAACUGUCAGUAAUUGUAUGCUCUUAAAUCCUAACCCAAUCCAUGAACAUUGUAGGCAUUUGAUUGUCGACAAUAAAAUCACUGGUUAGCAUUUAACAAAGGCAAAUUGCAGAUAACAUUAUUGGGACUCAGUAACUUAGGAACUGAAUUUGUGAACUAGUGGACGGUACCUCAAAAGAAAAUGGCAGACAGAGCUAGCAUCUCACUAAAACCUAUUUGGUCUUAAUUAUAUAGAACCCUACAAUCAUUAAUUUCAUUAACUUAGUUGUCGUCUCAAAAAAAGAACAAAAAGGAAUGGGAAAAUGUUCCUUUGUGUUUUAAAAAUGGAUGUCUACACAUUAAUAUUAACGAAGGUAUUUUUCAGAGCAUGUUUAACAUUCUAUCUUGCACACUAGCGGUGACAGGAGUAGAUGGGGGUGGUAAACUAGCAUGAUGGGCAGAACUUUCCAAAGUGGCCCUUGCAUCAUCUAAAAUAGUGCUUCCCAAAAUUUAGGUCUUCUGAACCACCGCCAGGUGCUAGCUGAAACCCCAGAUCUCUGAGCCAUGCCCUAGGAGUUCUGACUCAGCAGACCUGGAGUGCAGGCCCCAGGACAAGGGUCUCAGGCUAUCCUCACCAUGGCCUCACAAUGGUUGACGAAGUCUGUAAAUGAACAGUGUUAGAGUCUGUAAACAAGUCAGGAUGGCGCCUGGCAUUUUGCCAGGGGAAUGUUAGAGUUAGAGUUCGUAGACAAGUCUGGAUGGUGCCUGGCAAAAUGCCAGAGGGAGUGGUUUGAGAAGUAACAAAAGCAAGCCAUUAAGUGUGGAGAUUCCUUAUUGGUUGACUGAUGUAUCUAGUUUAUGCUAAUUAGAUAAGCUGUGUGGAAUGUAUAAAUACUGCUCCUGUCCUGCAAUAAACGGCUUCCACUCCUGCUGUA